CAGGCAAGUCAUUAUAACUUUUUGUGUGGGACAACUAACUACCAAAAUGGACAAGUUUUUGUGGUCAGAAAAUUGUGAACCGUCAACUUCUAAGAAAGCCCAUGUAAAUCAGGCAGAAGAAAGAAGUGCACGGACUCAGGAGCAAAUCGAACUUGCAGUUGCAGAAGCGAUGCGUUCACACUCCGGAGCCGCUGGUGCUGCUGGCUCUGCGUGUUCUGAAUGACCGCUGUCGCAAGCGUCCGAUGGAAGGCGACUCCCUUGGCGACAGCCCCAAGGACUUACCAAAAAAGCCCAAGAAAUCAAUGAAGAACGAACCAGAAUUGUUCCCAAAUUCAUUGGACUUUAAGAAUUCAGGCAUCAUGGCGGCUGGCCAGGAUCGAGGGCGCCCUCGUGAAGGAAAUGAGAAUGGGCUGGAUAGCCAGCAUGAAUUUUUAAGGCAUACAAUACCUUCCAGGAUAUAUUCUAGUUAAAUGCAUUGAUGAGAACUCCAAGAAGUGGCUGGAGUAUGAGGAGCCGAAGAUCUCGGAGAUGAGAAAAUGGUCGAGCAUAGGAAAACCAACAUAUGACAUUAAAGGCAAAAAUUAGGGGUGAACUAAAGACAAUUGAUUCGGGACAGCAUUUGAAACUUAACCAUCAACAUUAUUUAUACCAACAUAUCUUAAGACACUUGAUGCGGGACGGCAUUUGAAACUUAACCAUCAAAAUAACAUAUACCAACAUAUCUCAUGACAACUGAUGCGGGACAACAUUUGAAACCUUACCAUUUACAAACAUUAAACAAACCCACAUUACCAGAAGGAUGCUUUACGAACACUGCAAAAUCAGCAAUAAAACAUACAUAACUCCAAC